rnacentral:rRNA from 1 species
GAUAAACGCUGGCGGCGUGCCUAACACAUGCAAGUGGAGCGACGAACCAGGCUUCGGCCUGGGGCAAAGCCGCGAACGGGUGAGUAACACGUGGGUAACCUGCCCCGAUGAUCGGAACAACCCGAGGAAACUCGGGCUAAUACCGAAUGUGCCCUCCUGCCAUAAGGCAGCUGGGGAAAGGAAGCUUCGGCCUCCGCAUCGGGAUGGGCCCGCGGCCCAUUAGCUUGUUGGUGAGGUAACGGCUCACCAAGGCAACGAUGGGUAGCUGGUCUGAGAG